rnacentral:lncRNA from 1 species
UGGGGAGGCCACAGGGGUGUGGACGGGUGAGGCUUGGCCCUGGGAGAUCCCUCAGCCCUGCUGGCAAGUGGAGAAGUAGUGGGGUCCCAGGCAGGUCAUCACUGACCCUGCAUCCUCAUGGGGUGUGCGUGUCUGGCAGCCCCAAGGCCCCGGGGGUCCUGGGUGGUCCCUGACUGAAGCUGAUGCCAGGCUGGGUCUUCCCUGCUCCCAAGAGCGACCCUGAGGUGAGCAGGACCCCCUCCC